rnacentral:rRNA from 12 species
UGAAUACAUAGGGUUAUAAAGGCAAACCCGGGGAACUGAAACAUCUAAGUACCCGGAGGAAAGGAAAUCAACAGAUACUCCCCUAGUAGCGGCGAGCGAACGGGGACCAGCCGAGCGAUGAGAGUGACAAGAACAACCUGGAAAGGUUGGCCAUAGUGGGUGACAGCCCCGUAUUGGAAGCUCAAUUCGACGUAUUAAGUAGGGCGGGACACGUGAAAUCCUGUCUGAA